rnacentral:rRNA from 1 species
GAUGAACGCUAGCGAUAGGCUUAACACAUGCAAGUCGAGGGGCAGCACAAGGUAGCUUGCUAUCUGGGUGGCGACCGGCGCACGGGUGCGUAACGCGUAUGCAACUUGCCCUAUACAGGAGGAUAACCCGUCGAAAGACGGACUAAUACUGCGUAUGCUCACAACUUGGCAUCAAGUGGUGAGGAAAGAAAUUCGGUAUAGGAUAGGCAUGCGUCCCAUUAGCUUGUUGGUGAGGUAACGGCUCACCAAGGCAACGAUGGGUAGGGGAACUGAGAGGUUUAUCCCCCACACUGGUACUGAGACACGGACCAGACUCCUACGGGAGGCAGCAGUGAGGAAUAUUGAUCAAUGGGCGCGAGCCUGAACCAGCCAAGUCGCGUGAAGGAUGACUGUCUUAUGGAUUGUAAACUUCUUUUAUACGGGAAUAACAAGAGUAACGUGUGACUCCCUGAAUGUACCGUAUGAAUAAGCAUCGGCUAACUCCGUG